AUUGAACGCUGGCGGCAUGCCUUACACAUGCAAGUCGAACGGCAGCACGGGGGCAACCCUGGUGGCGAGUGGCGAACGGGUGAGUAAUGCAUCGGAACGUGCCCAGUAGUGGGGGAUAACUAGUCGAAAGAUUAGCUAAUACCGCAUACGACCUAUGGGGUGAAAGCGGGGGAUUCGCAAGAACCUCGCGCUAUCGGAGCGGCCGAUGUCUGAUUAGCUAGNGGCGGGGUAAAGCCCACCAAGGCUUCGAUCAGUAGCUGGUCUGAGAGGACGACCAGCCACACUGGGACUGAGACACGGCCCAGACUCCUACGGGAGGCAGCAGUGGGGAAUUUUGGACAAUGGGCGCAAGCCUGAUCCAGCCAUGCCGCGUGCGGGAAGAAGGCCUUCGGUUG
rnacentral:rRNA from 1 species